rnacentral:snoRNA from 1 species
AGAUGGAUGGCUGUUUGUGGAUCAGAAUAUUCUAGAAGCUUCAGCCAGGUAAGUGUGCAAGGCUCCAGUGGGCUCAUGCCAUGGGCCCUUCUACACCCUU